UGCAAGCAGGGCUUCCUGCUUUAAAAUGCAGCUGAAAGCAUUAUUACACUAUAAAAGAGUUGUUGUGUUGGUCAGUCUGAGGAAGGGCUUAGCUUGGCCCCGGCAGAGGAAGGAGGUGCAUGUUAAGAGAUAUUGUCUGACUGUAAAUCAUGGGUUGCAAAAAGAGCUUGCCAAGAUCAAGAUGUGACCUCCUGAUGAUUCGUCAACUAAUCAGCACUUGGAUGUUAUUAAGCAGAUCUCUUCAGAGAGAAGGUUUUCAAAUGAAUAGACAAUAGACAAUAGACAUAACUGGCAUAGUGAUUGCACUGAGGACAGUCCCUUCGAGAAGAUUCCUUGUCACAUGGGUAUCGGUUUUCUUAACCAACUGUAAUCAGGAGAGUUUAGAUGCUGAGAAAUUUAAUCUGACUGCUCACCUUGGACUUCUUGCCUAUCCGACAGGUCACGUGGGGGCUGUUUUGUAAUGAAAAUUCCUGUGUUGAAAUACAUGGCUUAGAAGAUCAGGGGCUGGAAGUCAGGUUCCUGGGAUAAUGCAGAAGGCGGAAGGCCGGCUGCCCACUCUCCAUGGGCUGCUGAGAGGAGAUCGCUAACACACCCAAUGAUGGGAGAAGGCUAAAAAUCAUGGAUUCUGUCACUAAUUCAGGCAAGUAAAGAUUGCACAUAGUUUACAGCUCUCGAGAAUCGACUGGUGAAAUCCCUGGGGAAAAAUGUUCCUUAUCCUCCUGCCGAGAGGACUAUAAAAUGGAAAGAGAGAGACUCUAAUGUAAAGAGCCAUAAAAGGUAUAAUUGUUGGAGGAAAACAACGUCUUCUUGCCAGGUUGAGAGUUUCUGCACAGCCAAUCGUAGUGGCUGCAGGUGACAUAAGGAGCGAAGGCAGGACCUUGAGGCAUUAGCGGUAGAUGAUCACACUCAGUGUGAACGCCGAGAAGAUCAGCAGCUGUGGUGGGAAAGAGACCCCCCCCCCGACAAAUUCACUGGGCACUGCCCUGUACGUGGGGACCCUACGGUCAUACGGGGUGGAGUCAUCAAGUCAGAUAGAAUUCUGACAGUGCUCCCCAAGAUGGUGUCCUACCCUCCCAGAUGCCUACUCAAACUGGGGUGUGUUGGUUAAACUAGGAUGAUGUAUUCAUUCCAGCACAGGUAAUCAGGACCCUGACCUCACACAGGAGGCGUGGAGGGGAGAAGACCCUGCCCCUGCUCUCAGGGAGCUCACAGUCUGCUGAGCUCCUAAUAACCGUAUUCCAAUGGGAUGCUAAACAUACAGCUUCCAAGUGCCGAAUUAGCCGAUCGGAUGCUAAAAUAGCGAUCAGCCGUUGUGGGCACGUGGCAGUGCUCCCACCACUCAUCCCAUCUCUUUCCUCGCUUUGUCCUCUGCUCCUAUGGAUGUCGCUUUGCAGGGCUUGGAUCAGCUUCCCUCUUGCUACUGUCACUGUCACCGGGCUGAGUUACCCCUUUCAGGACCCAUUUUAGGGCACACAGUCCCUGCACCUCCACACCACGCCGGGCCUCUCCAGCAACAACCGAGGCCCAGCCAGAGACAAUAUGGAUCCUGCUGCCCAUGGAACUGGCAGUCACAGGGUCCUGCUAGUCUUGGGGGAGUCCCCCCAGCGUUAGCAAGCCUUCCGUCCUCCACUCUUGAAAGGAGAAGGAUUUCUCAGACAAACGCUACUGCCCGCAUGGACCGGGGAAGGACUAGGAAAGUUACAUGAGUGUUGCCCACCAGGAUGUUUUGCUCUCCAUGCAGAAUAUGAAUGGGGGAAAAAGGAUUUGGUUGUGCCUCAGUGGGGUGAGCACUGUUCGUCUGGGGAUGGGCCUCCCUGGGCUCCAUUUUCCACAAACCGUCAUGGCCACCGAAACGUCAGGUUUGGAAUUAUAAGAGGCGGCCCACUUUCUUCUGGGAGGACAAGGGUGGGAUGCCUUUCACAACUCGCUGAUGGUGUAUCUUAUUUCAGGAGGCCCACACUUGUCUCUUCUGAUAAAUAUAAAAUAAAAUAAAAUAAAAUAAAAUAAAAUAAAAUAGUAAAACAAAAUGAUUAAUGAUAUAAAACAGAAGUCCUGUCACUGGCAGGUGGCCCAGUCUUAUUUUAAAUUGUGGCCUCUUUUUCUCUAGGGUGGGUUGUGGGUCAUGACAGAACUGCAGAAUUAAUUUCUUCUAGCACUCUCAUUGUAAGGAUGAGGACGUUGAGACACAGAGAGACCAGCUAGCAUGCCCAAGGUCACCUGGUGGGUGGCCAAGCUGGGAGCAGCAUCCAAGCCUCCUGCCUCCAGCCCAGAAAUGUUUUCACCACACUGCAACUCCAAGACUUACUUUUUUCUCAAGAUUUUGGUUUUAAUUUGUUUUUCUCCCAAGCCCAGGACUAGCGAUAGUUUUCUCCUCCAGCUUUCCUGUUAACUGAAGUCCAACUAGUUGAUUCUGCAUUCAAACCAAGUCUCAUAUUUGCCCCUACAGACGAGGCACUGUUCAAGAGCUUAGGAAAAUUAAGAGCAAAUAAGAAGGAAGCCUUCAUCCUCCAGACACACAAGUUCUAGGAGGAGAGAAGAUUAUUAAAAAAUGCACACAAACAUGGUGCCAUGUCCUAAGGAGAAAGCUGGUAUCUGUUCAGAUUGUUAAAUGCAAGGACAGGACAGUUUUGCCGAGAAAGGAGGGAUAGGAAAGUGAGGCGGGUGGCAAGCCAUGCCAGGUUUUCAUCUAACUUUCUUCCAUAUAUGAAGAAAAAGCUCUGUUUGGAAACUCACCUUGUCAUCAAGAAUUAUCAACACCCUGAGUCUCCAUGUUGGUGGGAAAGGCUCUGGCUGUCACAGGAAUUGAGUGUGGAUAUUUUACAAUGGCAGCUUGAAGAAAGCCUUUCUGUUCUCCAUGCGGUCGCCAUAUUGGGGCCUGAACGAGAGACCGAUAUUGCUUGUAAGUUGAUCUUGCUCCUUGAGGUCACUCUUCAUAAAUUCUCCCAGAGUCCAGGGCCUCCUCUUAAAUAUACGAGGUGUCUAUCAAGGCAGCACAGACAACGUUAUUUGAAGGUACGUGGUGGGACAGAAUAAAAAGUUCCAUGUGAGAUGAGAUUAACUAGAACAUUUAUCCAAUGGAAUACUCAGGCUUCAUAUAGUAUUAUAACACAUACGGCCCUGGGUUGAAAACUAAAUAUGAUGUUCCCAGUUUGAAUUAAACACUUUUUCCUCUUUGUUCCCAUAGUAUUUGUGCAUAGUUCUUUUGCUCAGUAAUAAUUCACCUAAGGUGCCGGGUAAUGUGGCAGAUAUUGAGGGUAUAGCGAUUUAAUGACAUGGUCCUCUCGUUAGUAUUGAACACAACAUUUUAUUUUAUUUUAUUUCUUUAAUGUUUAUUAUUUUUGAGACACAGAGAGACAGAGCAUGAGCGGG